rnacentral:rRNA from 1 species
UACGUAGGGGGCAAGCGUUGUCCGGAAUCAUUGGGCGUAAAGAGCGUGUAGGCGGCCCGGUAAGUCCGCUGUGAAAGUCGAGGGCUCAACCCUCGAAUGCCGGCGGAUACUGUCGGGCUAGAGUCCGGAAGAGGCGAGUGGAAUUCCUGGUGUAGCGGUGAAAUGCGCAGAUAUCAGGAGGAACACCUACGGCGAAGGCAGGUCUCUGGGCCACUACUGACGCUGAGAAGCGAAAGCAUGGGGAGCGAACAGG